rnacentral:rRNA from 1 species
UACAGAGGGGGCUAGCGUUGUUCGGAAUCACUGGGUGUAAAGGGUGCGUAGGCGGUCCGUUAAGUCUGAUGUGAAAGCCCUGGGCUCAACUCAGGAAUGGCAUUGGAAACUGGCGGGCUGGAGUACUGGAGAGGGAAGCGGAAUUCCUGGUGUAGAGGUGAAAUUCGUAGAUAUUCGGAAGAACACCAGUGGCGAAGGCGGACUC